rnacentral:rRNA from 1 species
AGUGAACGCUGGCGGCGUGCCUAACACAUGCAAGUUGAACGCGAAAGUUUUCUUCGGAAGAUGAGUAGAGUAGCAGACGGGUGAGUAAUGCAUAGGUAAUCUACCCUUGAGUGGGGGACAACACACCGAAAGGUGUGCUAAUCCCGCAUAACGUUUCUGGUCUUAAGACUGGGAACCAAAGGGGGGGACUCUUCGGAGCCUCUCGCUUAGGGAUGAGCUUAUGUCCUAUUAGCUUGUUGGUGGGGUAAUGGCCUACCAAGGCACUGAUGGGUAGCCGAGCUGAGAGGCUGAUCGGCCACACUGGAACUGAGACACGGUCCAG